ACCUCACCUCUUUCACAUCACCCGUCCACCUUGGGUGGUUUUCAUAAUUAAAACCAUCAGCAUUUGAUCUUGGAUUUGAGAUCCCAGUCCUCAACUUGUGCCACCACAUAUUGGAAUGUUUAAGUCUCUCUCUCUCUUCGCACUUUCUCUUCCCUCAUCUUCACAGACGAGUUGCAGAAAUUCGCCAACAUCACUCUCUCUUCCUUUGUCUUCAUAGAGACGAGCUGCAGAAAUUUGCCGACAGUCUCUCUCUCUCUCUCUCUGCCAUCAUCUUCAUAGAGACGAGCUGCAGAAAUUCGUCGAGGCUCUGCUGCUACGUACGAGAUCGGAAGUUGUAGAUUCGUUGUGAAAAUUGCAGCAAUUUUGGGAUUUGCAGUGAGAUUCAAACUGCAUAGAUUGUCGCCUAGCGCCGCCUAGUGAGAGCCUAGGCGGCCGCCUAAUUCUUCCCCGUCUAAAUGAAUGUUUUGGUCUAAAUUAAGUCGAAGCUUCGCCGCUCAGCGCCUGGGCGGCCGCCUAGGCCUAUUUUUAGAACACUGAUGACUUCAUCAACUGAAUUUACUUCAUUACUGAAGAACCAAUCUGCCAUUUACUCGAGUACUUACACACUCAAGGGGAUGUGUUGCAGUCCUAAUUUAGAUAGGAAUGUGAUUGUGUCAAUUCUAGGAAAUUCUUAUUGGAUUCUAUCAUAUCAUUUAGGUAGUAUCAUGUUUAAAUUGUAAUACCUAAAGGGUAAGAAAGUUACAUUCCCUACUAUUAUAAAUAAAGACACAAUUGAGUGAUUUUCUCAAUUCUCUCUA